rnacentral:rRNA from 1 species
UACGUAGGGUGCAAGCGUUAAUCGGAAUUACUGGGCGUAAAGCGUGCGCAGGCGGUUAUGCAAGACAGAUGUGAAAUCCCCGGGCUCAACCUGGGAACUGCAUUUGUGACUGCAUAGCUGGAGUGCGGUAGAGGGGGAUGGAAUUCCGCGUGUAGCAGUGAAAUGCGUAGAUAUGCGGAGGAACACCGAUGGCGAAGGCAAUCCCCUGGGCCUGCACUGACGCUCAUGCACGAAAGCGUGGGGAGCAAACAGG